GGAAACUUGCUCCUCGUCAGCCAUUGAGCGCCUCCUCCAGCUCAUGAUUAUUCAUGCAGGGGGGCGCUCGGCGAGCCUGCCCACUGGCGGAGGCCGACAGGAGGGGCGGCGCCCGGCGGACCUGCCGUGCGGGGUGGUGCGGAGACGCGGAGUGGUGUGGGCUCUUUUUUUUUUUUUUUUUUUUUUUCUUGCGUAGGGCGAGAUGUUGUUUUGUUGUGACGAUCAGCUGAGUGUGGCAUCGCUGUCCGGUCUGACACCACGAGAAGAAGAAGAAGAAGAAGAAGAGGGGGGAGGAGGAGGAGGAGAAGAAGAAGAAGCGCCUCUCCGGCUCCACACUAAACGUGGGGACGGAGCGCCUCUUUCCAGCGCAUCGCAAUCCAGGAAAUGCGGACUUGUGGCCCUUUCGCUUCGGGAUAAACGGCUGCAGAAGCCGCACCGUGGAGAGCCGGUUUGCCUCGAGCCCUGUUCAGUUUGUGAGUUCGCUCCAUGCCUGAGAGAGCAGAUACAAGGCGGCCGACAGUGAGCGACGGCUACAGUAAGCUGCGUGGGAGAAUGUGCGCU
ensembl:lncRNA